UGCCUUUUAAAUGAAGGCCCGUAUGAAUGGCAUAACGAGGGCUUAACUGUCUCUUUCUCCCUAUCAAUGAAAUUGAUCUCCCCGUGCAGAAGCGAGGAUAAGAACAUAAGACGAGAAGACCCUGUGGAGCUUUAGACCAUGACUAGACCAUGUUAAGGAUUAUAAACACAAACCUCAAACAAAUUGGGAGCUACUCUAAUGUCUUUGGUUGGGGCGACCGCGGGGAAAUAAAUAACCCCCAUGUGGAUUAGGAACACACAUUCUUAAAACUAAGAGCCACCACUCUAAGAGUCAGAACAUCUGGCCUUGUGAUCCGGACAUCCGAUCAACGAACCUAGUUACCCCAGGGAUAACAGCGCAAUCCUCUUUUAGAGCCCAUAUCGACAAGGGGGUUUACGACCUCGAUGUUGGAUCAGGACAUCCUAAUGGUGCAGCCGCUAUUAAGGGUUUGUUUGUUCAACAAUUAAAGU
rnacentral:rRNA from 1 species